rnacentral:rRNA from 1 species
AGGUGAGCAACCCGGAGAACUGAAACAUCUAAGUACCCGGAGGAGAAGAAAACAAAAGUGAUUCCGCUAGUAGCGGCGAGCGAACGCGGAUUAGCCCAAACCACAGUUGUUACGGCAAUUGUGGGGUUGUAGGACCACGACAUUUGAUGCUAAACGAACUAGAAUCUACUGGAAAGUAGGACCAUAGAGGGUGAUAGUCCCGUAUAGGUAAGUUGAGUUAUUGAUAGUGGUAUCCUGAGUAGUGCGGGGCACGUGAAACCCUGCAUGAAUUUGCCGGGACCAUCCGGUAAGGCUAAAUACUCCUGAGAGACCGAUAGUGAACCAGUACCGUGAGGGAAAGGUGAAAAGAACCCUGAAUAAGGGAGUGAAAUAGAUCCUGAAACCAUACGCUUACAAGCGGUCGGAGCAGACUUGAUCUGUGACGGCGUGCCUUUUGCAUAAUGAGCCUACGAGUUACCGUUGCUAGCAAGGUUAAUCGAUUCAGUCGAGGAUCCGUAGCGAAAGCGAGUCUGAAUAGGGCGUAUAGUUAGUAGUGGUAGACGCGAAACCGUGUGAUCUACCCAUGAGCAGGUUGAAGCUUUGUUAACCCAAAGUGGAGGACCGAACCCGUUGACGUUGAAAAGUCUUGGGAUGACUUGUGGGUAGGGGUGAAAGGCCAAUCAAACUCGGAAAUAGCUCGUACUCCCCGAAAUGCAUUUAGGUGCAGCGUAUUAAUAGUUUUAUAGAGGUAGAGCUACUGAUUGGAUGCGGGGGCUUCACCGCCUACCAAUUCCUGACAAACUCCGAAUGCUAUAAAAUGUUUUAAUGCAGUGAGGGCAUGGGUGCUAAG